rnacentral:rRNA from 1 species
GAUCAUGGCUCAGGAGUGAACGCUGGCGGCGUGCCUAACACAUGCAAGUCGAGCGAUUACUUCGGUAAAGAGCGGCGGACGGGUGAGUAACGCGUGGGUAACCUGCCUCAUACACAUGGAUAACAUACCGAAAGGUAUGCUAAUACAGGAUAAUAUAAGAGAUUCACAUGGAUUUCUUAUCAAAGCUCCGGCAGUAUGAGAUGGACCCGCGUCUGAUUAGCUAGUUGGUAAGGUAAUGGCUUACCAAGGCGACGAUCAGUAGCCGACCUGAGAGGGUGAUCGGCCACAUUGGAACUGAGACACGGUCCAAACUCCUACGGGAGGCAGCAGUGGGGAAUAUUGCACAAUGGGCGAAAGCCUGAUUGCAGCAACGCCGCGUGAGUGAUGAAGGCCUUCGGGUCGUAAAACUCUGUCCUCAAGGAAGAUAAUGACGGUACUUGAGGAGGAAGCCCCGGCUAACUACGUGCCAGCCGCCGC